UUAAAUGGCCGCAGUAUUUUGACUGUGCAAAGGUAGCAUAAUCAUUAGUUUCUUAAUUAGAAGCUGGAAUGAAGGGUUGAACGAAAAAAUUACUGUCUUUAAUUUAAUUUUUUAGAAUUUUAUUUUUAAGUUAAAAAGCUUAAAUAUAAUUAAAAGACGAGAAGACCCUAUAGAGUUUUAUAAAAUUUUUUUAAAUUUAUUAAGUUUAAUAUUAUUUAUUUUAUUAAGGUUUUAUUUUAUUGGGGUGAUAGAAAAAUUUGUUGAACUUUUUUUUUAUAUAAACAUUAAUAAAUGAUUUAAUGAUCCAGUAGUAUUGAUUAUAAGAUUAAAUUACCUUAGGGAUAACAGCGUAAUUUCAUUUAAGAGUUCAAAUCGAUAAUGAAGAUUGCGACCUCGAUGUUGGAUUAAAAUUAAUUUUUGGUGUAGGAGCUAAAAAAUUAGGUCUGUUCGACCUUUAAAAUUUUACAUGAUCUGAGUUUAAACCGGUGUGAGCCAGGUUGGUUUCUAUCUUUAAUAUAUUUUAAUAUUUUAGUACGAAAGGACCAAAUAUUAGUAAAAUUUAUUUUUUAUUGAAUAGAAUUAAUAG
rnacentral:rRNA from 1 species